rnacentral:rRNA from 1 species
UGGGGAAUCUUGGACAAUGGGCGCAAGCCUGAUCCAGCCAUGCCGCGCGGAUGAUGAAGGCCUUAGGGUUGUAAAAUCCUUUCGUUGGGGACGAUAAUGACGGUACCCAAAGAAGAAGCUCCGGCUAACUUCGUGCCAGCAGCCGCGGUAAUACGAAGGGGGCUAGCGUUGUUCGGAUUUACUGGGCGUAAAGCGCGUGUAGGCGGGUCGUUAAGUUGGGGGUGAAAUCCCGAGGCUCAACCUCGGAACUGCCUUCAAAACUGGCGACCUGGACCUAAGUAGAGGCAAGUGGAAUUGCGAGUGUAGAGGUGAAAUUCGUAGAUAUUCGCAGGAACACCAGUGGCGAAGGCGACUUGCUGGACUUAUGGUGACGCUGAGACGCGAAAGCGUGGGGAGCAAACAGGAUUAGAUACCCGGGUAGUCCCUGAGCGGGCUGGCAAGGCGCAU